CGGAGCUCUCUCAAAGCCUGCUGGGACGGCGUUCCAAGCUGUGGCGGGAGUCGUGCGGAUUCGUUCGUCUCUCGGGGGUGGCGAAAGAAUGUCGCAGGACGAUGCGGAGGUGGCGAGCGGGGUCGUGCUGGAGGAACUCAGCAGCUGGUCGGAGGAGAUGUGCCGUCGGGAGCUGCCUUCGGUGCUGCCCCGGCUCCUCUCUAUGUAUCAAUGUUCUGAAAGUUGGAUUGAACAUAUCCGAAUUUUAAAAAUCAUUGUUGAAAUGUUUUUGCCUCAUAUGAACCACCUGACACUGGAAGAAACUUUGUUUUCCCAAGUUUUACCAAAGAGUAUAAAAUUGUUUGAUGGCAUGAUAUGUGAAUUAACCAGUGAAGCCAGAGAACUCUCCAGCCAAAAUUUAGAAAUCCAGGUCACCAUAAGGAACAUUUUACAAGCAAUGGUGCAGGUCAUAGGAGGUUUUACAGGAUGUGUCCGUCAUGUCUGUGCCACACAGAAAUCUGUCUUUCUAGGAAGUAUUCAGAGUCUUCCCUCAUUCAUCCUGCAUAUAAUUAAAAGUGCAUUUGUGCACUGUAAGAACAGCGAAUGUGUGUAUUCUGGGCGCUUACACCUAGUGUCAGACCUUCUCCAGGUUCUGUUCAAGGAGGCCUAUUCUCUCCAGAAGCAGCUGAUGGGACUGCUGGACACGGUUUGCCUGGACCCUUCAGUAGAUGAGAAUAACGCUUUGAUAAUGGUAGGAGUUAUUCAUUCAUUAUUGGAUAUCUGCUCUGUUAUCUCUGGUAUGGACCAAGCAUUUCAUGCCAAUACUUGGAAGUUUAUUAUUAAGCAGAGCCUCAAACACCACUCGGUUAUAAAGAGCCAGUUGAGACACAAAGAGAUCAUUUCUAGCUUGUGUGAAGACAUUCUUUUCUCCUUUCAUUCUUGUUUACAGUUAGCUGAGCAGAUAACACAGCCAGCUGCACAGGGUAAUGCUGACUACAGGUUAUUUCAAAAAACACUGAAAUUGUGUCGUUUCUUUGCUAACUCCCUUUUGCACUACACUAAGGAAUGUCUUCCUUUCCUGUCUGAUUCUUGCUGUACUCUGCACCAGCUUUAUCUGCAGAUACACAGCAAGUUUCUAAGCCUCUGUGCUGCCAAGACUUCCAAAGCCCAGCAGGAGGAAAUAGCAAGCACUUUCCUUGUGCUACUGGACCCACUCAUCAGUCAGCUGCUCAAAUCCCAGCCUUUUGUGCAGGCAGUUUUGGCGAGUAAACUUGCCCUGCCCUGUGAGCUGCAGCUCCCACAAGUCCUACUCCUGGUUGUCGCCAUGGAUAAACUGCCCUCUCAGCCACAGGACGUGCAGACCCUGUGGAGCACAGAGGAUAUGACUAGGAUGUCCAUACUGAAAGGAAUUUUCUACAAUUUUGGCCAGUGUUCUGGUGAACUCUCUCUGCCUACUCAUUUACAAGGAACGAAGGGUAAAGGACAAGCUGAGGUGCCUGUCACGUUGUAUCAGCAUGUUUGUGUUCAUCUGUGUGCAUUUGUGGCUUCUUUUCAUUCUUCAUUGUUUCCUCGGCUGGAUGCUGCUCUAUUGAAUGCUGUGCUUAGUACCAAUAUGAGUACCUCUUUGUUAGCGAUGGAUGUGUGGUGCUUCCUUGCUCGGUAUGGGACUGCUAAACUUGGUGCACACCAUGUCACCCUAGUGGCUCAUCUGGUUAAAUCUUGCCCUGGAAAAUGUGUUCAGCUUACCAACCUCUCCAUACUGUUGAAGCGCCUCCUUUUCUUCAUGGCUGCACCCCAUCAGGUGCAAUUCAUCCAGAAAUUUUCUCCAAAAGAAGCAGACAACUUGCAUUUGUGGCAGUAUAUUUCCCUCCAGGCGUUCGAUGCUGAUCUCAGGAAGCCGGUUGCAUGUGAAUUGGUCAGAGUGUGCAGAGCACAGUGCAGGAAGUGGUUGAGCAGCACUCGGACUCUGGCAGAGCUUGACUCUCUGAACACAGCACUUUCUGUUGUACUUACUGUCUGCAAUUCUGCUGGAGAAGCUUUGGAUAGUAGACAGCUAACUGCAGUUACUGAAGUUUUGGGUGAGCUUUGGACUUUCAUAAACGUUGAACAAAUUAUCAGUCAGCCCUAUGUUCAACAGGCAUUUAGCCUUUUACUUCAACUGCUGGCGUUUUUCAUCCAAACUGUAGAUCUGCAGCUGAUAAGUCAGGUUGUAAAUGUCCUGACUUCGGUGAUUAAACUAGAGCCUCCUGACCACGUCUCUUUGGCAGUGCUGGAUUUUAUAUCGUCUCUGGGCAAACUUUAUAUAUCUCAAACUAUCCGGGACAAGGUGCUGCCCAGCUUGUCUUGUAUUCUUACUUCACUGAUCGUCAACAAGAAUUGGUUGCUAGAGCAACAUACUUUGGAGGCAUUUACUCAGUUUGCUGAGGGAACAAAGCAUGAAGAGAUAGUUCCACAGUGUCUCGGUUCUGAAGAAAUCAAGAACAAAGUUGUAUCCUUUUUGGAGAAGACAGAAUCUGUAGAUGAAGCUGAGGUUGCCACAGUGGACAAUGUGAAGCAGGAGAAAGGCACUUUCUGGGAACCUGCUGCUAAGGUGACUGUAGAAGAAGUGAAGACGUCAGCGUUUCAGCCUCACACAAAGAGAGCCCGUCGGGUGUUGCCCUUUGAAGAAGAAUACAGAUCAGUAUUUAAAGCUGCAGCAAGGGCUUUGGAGACAACUGAGUUUUUACUCAAACACUCUCUUGCUCCAGCAUGGCUGCUGCCAGAACUGGAGGCGCUGCAAGGAAGGAUCGAGAAGCUAAAACGCUGUGUGCUUACAGGAAUUGUCCUGGAAAAAAGCACUUCUUUAGCUGUUUGCUUUGUAUGGAAACUGGCCUCAGUCAAGUGCACACAGCACUUUCUCCUGGACUCUGGCACCGAAGCCUUUUGCCACCAGGACUUAGUCAGCAACCUGAGGUUGGUCUCUGCUUGACUUGGCACAGACUGCAAAAAAGAGCUCCUGGUGUGGGGAACACAAGCUGCUUUGGGGUUUUGCAUCCAUGCAGCUUGCUUUGAGUGGCAGCACCUGUGCGCAGUCUCCUCGGCCUGCUCUGACAAGGUUUGACACACUCCCACUGCCAACCUGGCUCUGACCUGUGGCAGGAUGACUUUCUUUAGCUGUUCCUGAGUGAAGUGCUCCACGUAGGCCUCGAUGUGGGACAGUAACACCAUCCGCACGUGCUCCUCGUGCACCUCGAACAGCCGGAGAAGCACAGGGAUCACUCGGGACUGGAACAGCGCUGGCGAGAGCAAGCAAGGGGUUUCUCCUGGUGCGUUCUCUACCCCAAAUCAGAGGGUACAGACAGAGUCAUUCAGUGAAAAGAGUGAAGCGCACAAUUCACCAACUGAGUCCAGAACUUUACACAUGUUUUAUCUAUUUGUCUAAAUUUUAAGCUGCAAUCUUAAGGUGUUUCUGCUGUGGGUUCAAUAACAUCAAGGCUUUUCCGUCUCAAGCGUUCUCUACAUCCUGCUCCUUUCCUGGCACAAGGCAGAUCUUUAAUGAGCGCUGAGGUGAUUCAUGGCUUCUCCCUCUAAAAUCCACAGUGGGAGGAUGGAAAGCUAUAAGGAACAUUCAUUACUAAAAUAAAAAUAUUCAACCUAGA